CNGAAAGCAAGAGUAUGCACCAAUCGUGAA
rnacentral:piRNA from 1 species